UACAGAGGUCUCAAGCGUUUGUUCGGAUUCAUUGGGCGUAAAGGGCGCGUAGGCUGCGGGGUAAGUCGGGUGUGAAAUCUCAGAGCUCAACUCUGAAACUGCACUCGAUACUGCUUUGCUUGAGGACUGGAGAGGAGAUUGGAAUUCACGGUGUAGCAGUGAAAUGCGUAGAUAUCGUGAGGAAGACCAGUGGCGAAGGCGGAUCUCUGGACAGUUCCUGACGCUGAGGCGCGAAGGCCAGGGGAGCAAACGGG
rnacentral:rRNA from 1 species